AUUGAACGCUGGCGGCAUGCCUAACACAUGCAAGUCGAACGAGUGGCGGACGGGUGAGUAAUGUCUGGGAAACUGCCUGAUGGAGGGGGAUAACUACUGGAAAAGGUAGCUAAUAACGCAUACCAUCGGAUGUGCCCAGAUGGGAUUAGCUAGUAGGUGGGGUAAAGGCUCACCUAGGCGACAAUCCCCAGCUGGUCUGAGAGGAUGACCGGCAACACUGGAACUGAGACACGGUCCAGACUCCUACGGGAGGCACCAGUGGGGAAUUUUCGACAAUGGGCGAAAGCCUGAUGCAGCCAUGCCGCGUGUAUGAAGAAGGCUUUCGGGUUGUAAAGUACUUUCAGCGGGGAGGCGGUACCCGCAGAAAAAGCCCCGGCUAACUCCGUGCCAGCAGCCGCGGUAAUAC
rnacentral:rRNA from 1 species